rnacentral:rRNA from 1 species
UACGUAGGGUGCGAGCGUUGUCCGGAAUUAUUGGGCGUAAAGAGCUUGUAGGCGGUUUGUCGCGUCUGCCGUGAAAAUCCGAGGCUCAACCUCGGACUUGCGGUGGGUACGGGCAGACUAGAGUGUGGUAGGGGAGACUGGAAUUCCUGGUGUAGCGGUGAAAUGCGCGGAUAUCAGGAGGAACACCGGUGGCGAAGGCGGGCCUCUGGGCCGAUACUGACGCUGAGGAGCGAAAGCGUGGGGAGCGAACAGG